UGCAAACCCCUGGACGGUCCAGCGCAUCUGGGACCGGCUAUACAUGGCCCUCACACGUACACGUCGGGGUGAAGGGGUCUGGGAGAAAUCGGCGGUCUGUUCAUCUCAGGCUGAAGGAAGCAAGCACAGAGACCACAUCCGAUGACUUACCAGUGUUUCGGCUGUCCAGAAAUGGACUGGAGAAAGUCAAACUUCAAAAUAACACGGAGUCCAGAGUGUACACAGCACGGGGAUCUCAAGGAGUCUUCAGGCUCACACGGAGCAACGCUAAGAGGAAUAGCUAUGAACUUGUAGGUACACUUUGGAACAUAAACAGGUG